GGUUAAGCGACUAAGCGUACACGGUGGAUGCCCUGGCAGUCAGAGGCGAUGAAGGGCGUGCUAAUCUGCGAUAAGCGCCGGUAAGGUGAUAUGAACCGUUAUAACCGGCGAUACCCGAAUGGGGAAACCCAGUGUGAUUCGUCACACUAUCAUUAACUGAAUCCAUAGGUUAAUGAGGCGAACCGGGGGAACUGAAACAUCUAAGUACCCCGAGGAAAAGAAAUCAACCGAGAUUCCCCCAGUAGCGGCGAGCGAACGGGGAGGAGCCCAGAGCCUGAAUCAGCAUGUGUGUUAGUGGAAGCGUCUGGAAAGGCGCGCGAUACAGGGUGACAGCCCCGUACACAAAAGCGCAUGUGUUGUGAGCUCGAUGAGUAGGGCGGGACACGUGGUAUCCUGUCUGAAUAUGGGGGGACCAUCCUCCAAGGCUAAAUACUCCUGACUGACCGAUAGUGAACCAGUACCGUGAGGGAAAGGCGAAAAGAACCCCGGCGAGGGGAGUGAAAAAGAACCUGAAACCGUGUACGUACAAGCAGUGGGAGC
rnacentral:rRNA from 2 species